GAUACUUGUUGCAAACUAUAAUGUGAUAUUAAAAAAUCAAUUCAAUUUUAAUUUUAUUUUCAGCUGGCUUCCUUUUAUACUCUACCUGAUUCAGCUCAUAAGCAGGUGAUUGAGCUGCUUUUACCAGUUUGCACCACAUCCUGUGACAGAAACAACCAGGAUAAGGUAGGACGGCCAGUCCCCCUCUGUCUCUUCGCCUUCCACAAACAGUCACUUAAAUAGUAACCCAAAUGUCAAACCUGAUAAACCUAAUAAAGAAUCAC